CUAUAAGUUGUGCAUUAUUUGUUCAUUUUUUUUAAGGUAGAUUGGGUGUCUUCAGACUGUCAUCUUGGAUUGUAAAAUUGCAGAAAACUAUCAAUUUAGAACUUUGAUGAACAUGCAUAUUUUGAGAAAGGAAUAUAAUUCAUUUGAAAAAACUUUCAUCUCAAUGAUUUGAUUGACUGAUUGUUUGUUGCUCAAUGUCCAGUGGCAAAUAUUUUAUGCAUAUUCAGGACAAUUCAUGAGAACACUUUGUGAUUUAUCUUUU
rnacentral:lncRNA from 1 species